CACAGUUGAAGGGAAUCUUACGGAUAAGAGGCAUUAAUUAGGUAAUGCAGGGAGAAAAGAGCAUUAAGGCAGAGGAAACACUGUGUGUAAAGGUCUUGCAAUGGAAAGAGAAAUGGCCUUAGAAGCAAAGACUGAAGAUUUCUGAAGAAGAAGCAAUCAUGCCUCAAUAAAGCAACCUAAGAAACCCUGCCUGAGUUUCCAGCCUGCUGGCCCAUCCUGCAGAUUUAGAACUGAAAACUACAUCAACUAAUUUGCCUGCAUUCCCACUUUACCAGCCAGCCCUACAGCUUUCAAACUUGCCAGCCCCUACAGUCAUGCUUUAUUCCCGAAGGACACGGUGGAUAUUUUGUGUGGCCCAAGAAAAGCAAAUGCUGGAAAAAAGCACUAGAAACUGCCCUUUGAAGUUUGCUACCAAGAUCUAAUAUCUUGACAGACCAAAUGGGUACUUGGUGCCUACUGAGAAGCCUUUACUCCCUUUACUCUUCCUCAGAUCAAUGAAGGACAAAUUGACUUCUCUGAAAAAGAGUGACCCUCAGGAGCCUGAGGAGAGAAGGCAAGGCACGCUGAGGUGAUCCUACAUCCUACACAGCCCACAGGGCUCCCAUGCUCCAGCAAUCACAAUGGAUUUUUAAACAGAGAUUCUGACUUCUUCUUGAUCUAUGAGGCAAUUUCUAAAUUUAAUGAUAUCCAAAAUCUUCCCAGCUGUAUCUCUAUCCUUGGGUCUGUGAAAUUCCAUGCAAAAAGUGCUCAGAAAGCACUCCAUUCAGUGAAAGAUUUGGGGAGUUUUGGAAAUACUCAAACAAAAUCUGUUUAAUUUAUAUAAACCCCCAGUGAGAAAAGCAUUAAGAAUGGAAGUUUAGAAAUAAAAUUUUUCCACAUUAUUUCACAGGUUCUGUUUCCUUACUGAAUGUUGCCUGUUGCUUUUAUAAAUAAUAUUGCUUCCAGCUGGCACGCUUAAACAGGAUCCAUUCAAAUGGAUUUCAUGGGACAUUGAGCAAUUCCGGUACCUUUCUCAAUCAAAACUAAAGGUUACAUU
rnacentral:lncRNA from 10 species